ACCCCCUGGCUUUGCCAUGGGGGGCUAGUGGCGCCCACAAAUGAAUGCAUGAACAGCCCUGGCUGGCGUGGCUCAGUUGCAGCUUCAUCCCGUAAACUGGAGGGUCUUGGUUUUGAUUCUCAGUCAAGUAAAUAAAAAUUAUUUUUUGUAAUGACCAAACUGAAGCUGUCCUACUUUGGGCACAUCAGGAGAAGGCAGGGCUCUUUGGAAAGGACAACAAUGCCUGGAGAGCAGAAGGCAGCAGGAAAAGAGGAAGACCAAAUAAAUAUGUGACAGACUGACUCCAUAACAGAGGCCAAGGCAUGAGUCUACAGGAGCUGAGCAGAGCUGCUAAGGACAGGACAUUGUGGACAUCACUCACUCACAGAAUUGCCAGAAGCUGGAGCCAACUCCACUGCAUGCAAGACAAAGCACUGUAUUUGUUGCUCUUACCUAAAAUGGCACGGAGGGCGAGCGAAGCUGCCGGCUCUCAGGGUUUCUGCUUCUGCCACAAGGACAGGGGCUGCCAUCAAGAGGACCAAGAAGGCCUCCAGCUGAUGCCCAGGUCCUCCCCUGCCCCAGUCUCCUCCUGUUCACUGCCCUGCCAGGGCUCCCUGGGUCAUUAAUAUCUACCAGGGUUUACAAUCUUUUGGCAUCUCUGGGUCACAAUAGAAGAAGAGCUGUCUUGGACCACACAUGAAAUACACAAACACUAAUGAAA